UGGGGAAUAUUGCACAAUGGGCGCAAGCCUGAUGCAGCAACGCCGCGUGAACGAUGAAGGUCUUCGGAUCGUAAAGUUCUGUUGCAGGGGAAGAUAAUGACGGUACCCUGUGAGGAAGCCCCGGCUAACUACGUGCCAGCAGCCGCGGUAAUACGUAGGGGGCAAGCGUUAUCCGGAUUCAUUGGGCGUAAAGCGCGCGUAGGCGGUUUGUUAGGUCAGGAGUUAAAUCUGGGGGCUCAACCCCUAUCCGCUCCUGAUACCGGCAGGCUUGAGUCUGGUAGGGGAAGGCGGAAUUCCAAGUGUAGCGGUGAAAUGCGCAGAUAUUUGGAAGAACACCGGUGGCGAAGGCGGCCUUCUGGGCCACGACUGACGCUGAGGCGCGAAAGCUAGGGGAGCGAACAGG
rnacentral:rRNA from 1 species